rnacentral:rRNA from 1 species
AUACGGAGGGUGCGAACGUUAAUCGGAAUUACUGGGCGUAAAGCGCGCGUAGGCGGUUUGUUAAGUGAGGUGUGAAAUCCCCGGGCUCAACCUGGGAAUUGCACUUCAAACUGGCAGGCUAGAGUGUAGUAGAGGGAGGUGGAAUUUCCUGUGUAGCGGUGAAAUGCGUAGAUAUAGGAAGGAACACCAGUGGCGAAGGCGGCCUCCUGGACUAACACUGACGCUGAGGUGCGAAAGCGUGGGGAGCAAACAGGAUUAGAUACCCCAGUAGUCC